GCCCUCGGUGGCUCACGUGGAUAGAGCAUCUGCCGUAUAAGCAGGAGAUCCUGGGUUCGAGUCCCGGUCGGGGCA